rnacentral:rRNA from 1 species
CCUACGGGAGGCAGCAGUGAGGAAUAUUGGUCAAUGGGCGCGAGCCUGAACCAGCCAAGGAGCGUGAAGGAUGACGGCCCUACGGGUUGCAAACUUCUGUUAUAAAGGAAUAAAGUGAGGCACGUGUGCCGUUUUGUAUGUACGGUAUGAAUAAGGAUCGGCUAACUCCGUGCCAGCAGCCGCGGUAAUACGGAGGAUCCGAGCGUUAUCCGGAUUUAUUGGGUUUAAAGGGAGCGUAGAUGGGUUGUUAAGUCAGUUGUGACAGUUUGCGGCUCCACCGUAAAAGUGCAAUUGAUACGGGCAUCCUUGAUUACAGUUGCGGUCGUCGCACUUCGUGGUGUCUCGGUGAUAUGCUUAGAUCUCCC